UAGGGGGCCAUGGAUUGAGUGAUGUGCAAGGCCUUGUCUGCCACUUUUUAGAAGAUCAUUCGGAUAUGGUAUGCUAGGCUUUAGUUGAGCUCCAUUCACUCCUUUGAGGAGCUUAGCCAACUCUUUGUCACCUACUUCAAAAGCAAUGGAUGAUAAAGGAGGGGAUCUGACACCCUCUUCACCCAUUAAGUAGAGGGAUGAUGAG
rnacentral:lncRNA from 1 species